GACGAACGCUGGCGGCGUGCCUAAUACAUGCAAGUCGAACGCACUCUCGUUUAGAUUGAAGGAGCUUGCUCCUGAUUGAUAAACAUUUGAGUGAGUGGCGGACGGGUGAGUAACACGUGGGUAACCUGCCCUAAAGUGGGGGAUAACAUUUGGAAACAGAUGCUAAUACCGCAUAAAACCUAACACCGCAUGGUGUAGGGUUGAAAGAUGGUUUCGGCUAUCACUUUAGGAUGGACCCGCGGUGCAUUAGUUAGUUGGUGAGGUAAAGGCUCACCAAGACCGUGAUGCAUA
rnacentral:rRNA from 1 species